GUCGUUUUGCUGUGGCUCCUCAGUAAACCCAAGUUGGAGAGAGAGGGCAUUGUAUUGACAGCAGCAUGAUCCUUAUCACAUUUGGACUCUAUCUUCCACUAUUGUUUUGUUAUGUCUUGUCUCAGUCCUCUUUCCUGGACAAUAUUCUCUCAUUCCCAGCAGCUCUCCAACAACAACCUGCCGUGGACCAGCAGAGGAAAUUCAACCCUGCUGUUUACAGAGUCCACCCCCCCCCCCCUAUUCCCUCCUCCUCCCUCACUGUGGCACCCCGGUGGUCAUAAUGAGGAGACCAGUAAGGGAGGUGAUCACAGACCAGAUCCAGAUACAGGGACGGAGCUGAAAGGGCCCAGCUGUGUCCCAGGACCCCCUGGCCCCAACGGACCCCCGGUCCUCAGGUAGGUAAACCUAUCACCCCCAAAUGUCUCUGUUAAUGUUGUCAUCCCACUGGCUUCAUCAAUUCAAUAUAUCUUUUUUAAGCCCGAUAAUGGCCCAUACAGUUAUAAUACGGUUAUAAUGCAGAUAUUUGGAAGAGUAUUUCAUCAGGGUUUAUCAGGUGGAGACAAUGGUUAGUUGCCUGGGCUUCCUUACUUGUCAGUAAUGGUGGUAGACAGGUGUUGGGGGGUUGGCUAAGUCCUCUAUAGACCUCUAUCAGCUCUUUACCAUCUGAGACCCAUGUGAGUUCCUUCUCCUUCCUUCCUCUUGUUCCUCUAGAGCUAGGGACAGGGACGGGGACGGAGAUGGGGACAGGGACGGGGAUGGAGACGGGGACGAAGACGGGGACGGGGACAGAGACAGGGACAGAGACAGGGACAGAGAUGGGGACAGGGACAGGGACAGAGACAGAGACAGAGACAGGGACGGGGACGGGGACGGGGACAGAGACAGGGACAGAGACGGGGACGGAGACAGGGACAGGGACAGAGAGGGACAGAGAC
rnacentral:lncRNA from 1 species